rnacentral:rRNA from 1 species
UACGUAUGGAGCAAGCGUUAUCCGGAUUUACUGGGUGUAAAGGGUGCGUAGGUGGCGAGGCAAGUCAGAUGUGAAAUACCGGGGCUCAACCCCGGGGCUGCAUUUGAAACUGUCUUGCUGGAGUACAGGAGAGGCAGGCGGAAUUCCUAGUGUAGCGGUGAAAUGCGUAGAUAUUAGGAGGAACACCAGUGGCGAAGGCGGCCUGCUGGACUGUUACUGACACUGAGGCACGAAAGCGUGGGGAG